AUUGAACGCUGGCGGCAGGCCUAACACAUGCAAGUCGAACGGUAACAGGAAGCAGCUUGCUGCUUCGCUGACGAGUGGCGGACGGGUGAGUAAUGUCUGGGAAGCUGCCUGAUGGAGGGGAUAACUACUGGAAACGGUAGCUAAAUACCGCAUAAUGUCGCAAGACCAAAAGAGGGGACCUUCGGGCCGUCUUGCCAUCGGAUGUGCCCAGAUGGAUUAGCUUGUUGGUGGGGUAACGGCUCACCAAGGCGACGAUCCCUAGCUGGUCUGAGAGGAUGACCAGCCACACUGGAACUGAGACACGGUCAGACUCCUACGGGAGGCAGCAGUGGGAAUAUUGCACAAUGGGCGCAAGACCUGAUGCAGCCAUGCCGCGUGUAUGAAGAAAGGCCU
rnacentral:rRNA from 1 species